rnacentral:piRNA from 1 species
UAUAGAAAAGUUGGCCAAUGCUCAUGG